rnacentral:rRNA from 1 species
UUCCCUGGAACGGGACGCCUUAGAGGGUGAGAGCCCCGUACGGUUGGCCACCAAGCCUGUGUAAAGCUCCUUCGACGAGUCGAGUAGUUUGGGAAUGCUGCUCAAAAUGGGAGGUAUAUUUCUUCUAAAGCUAAAUACUGGCCAGAGACCGAUAGCGCACAAGUAGAGUGAUCGAAAGAUGAAAAGCACUUUGAAAAGAGGGUUAAAUAGCACGUGAAAUUGUUGAAAGGGAAGGAUUUAUGACCAGACUUUUUCUAGGGGGAUCAUCCGGUGUUCUCACCGGUGCACUUCCCCUAGUUGAGGCCAGCAUCGGUUUCUGUCGGGGGAUAAAAGCUUCGGGAAUGUGGCUCCCUCCGGGGAGUGUUAUAGCCCGUUGCAUAAUACCCUGACGGGGACCGAGGUUCGCGCAUUGCAAGGAUGCUGGCGUAAUGGUUAUUAAUCACCCGUCUUGAAACACGGACCAAGGAGUCGAACAUUUGUGCGAGUGUUUGGGUGUUAAACCCUCACGCGUAAUGAAAGUGAACGGAGGUGAGAGCCCCUCGGGGUGCAUCAUCGACCGAUCCUGAUGUCUUCGGAUGGAUUUGAGUAAGAGCAUAACUGUUCGGACCCGAAAGAUGGUGA